AGGUAUUUGUCAGACAUAUUUUUAAAUUUUUUAACAUUUUGAUUUUUAUUUCUGCAGGCGGGGUCUUGCUGUGAUGCACAAACUCAUCCUGAACUCCUGGCUUCAAAGUGGAGUCUCCCAAAGCUCUGUCCAGUGGUGCUGUCAUAACUCACUGCAGCCUCGAACUCCUGGGCUCAAGUCAUCCUCCUGCAUCAACCUCUGGAGUAGCUGAGAUCACAGCCAUAUACCGCUAAGUCACUACUGACCCUUCAUUGGAAUCUGUAACUGGCGUAACCUCUACAGUCCUGUGAGUGGUACUGUUGGGGAUUUAAGGAGCAGAGCAGUUGAAGCGAAGCGCUGCCACCCUGGCAUUGCCAUUCCCCAUGGGUACUUCUCCAAGGGAAAUUGGUCAUGGUCAUCCAGACAGAGACCAGCAGCCGAGUGGAUUUGAGCUCCCCUGAGAGGGCUGUGAACCACAGGGGAGUCACUGGCAGGGGCUUGUGUACCUCAGAGGAAGACAGAACACGUACAUUUCUCUGCGUUUCUCUUUGUCUCAUCCUUAGUCCCUAGACCGUUAGCCCCUGUUGCCAUGGGAACUGAAGCUGAGUGUCUGAUGCAUUCAUUGGGCUGUGGGAGAAAAGCAGAGUUGGUCCUUGAAAUAAAGGCCCCUGGGGGAGAGGAUUCUAGCA
rnacentral:lncRNA from 13 species